rnacentral:rRNA from 1 species
UACGUAGGGAGCAAGCGUUGUUCGGAUUUACUGGGCGUAAAGGGCGCGUAGGCGGCGCGGUAAGUCACUUGUGAAAUCUCUGAGCUUAACUCAGAACGGCCAAGUGAUACUGUUGUGCUAGAGUGCGGAAGGGGCUACUGGAAUUCUCGGUGUAGCGGUGAAAUGCGUAGAUAUCGAGAGGAACACCUGCGGCGAAGGCGGGUAGCUGGGCCGACACUGACGCUGAGGCGCGAAAGCCAGGGGAGCGAACGGG